CCUGGCCCUAGAAGUGUUGCAGGUGUGCCUGCUGUGUCCUAUGUGAGUCAUGGUGGCACAGAAGAAAGGGGCUAUGUGGACUCAGUGUUAACAUCCGAUAACAUCCGCUAACAAAAGUAUGCCUGAGACU